rnacentral:rRNA from 1 species
CCGGCGACCGGCGCACGGGUGAGUAACACGUAUGCAACCUGCCCUCUUCAGGGGGACAACCUUCCGAAAGGGAGGCUAAUCCCGCGUAUAUCGGUUUCGGGCAUCCGAGAUCGAGGAAAGAUUCAUCGGAAGAGGAUGGGCAUGCGGCGCAUUAGCUAGACGGCGGGGUAACGGCCCACCGUGGCGACGAUGCGUAGGGGUUCUGAGAGGAACGGUCCCCCACACUGGUACUGAGACACGGACCAGACUCCUACGGAAGGCAGCAG